rnacentral:rRNA from 1 species
GAAUCCCGUGUAUGGCAUGGACUACCGUUACUCUGUGAUACACUCUCAACGAGUCGAGUUGUUUGGGAAUGCAGCUCUAAAUGGGUGGUAAAUGCCAUCUAAAGCUAAAUAUUGGCGAGAGACCGAUAGCAAACAAGUACCGUGAGGGAAAGAUGAAAAGCACUUUGGAAAGAGAGUGAAACAGUACGUGAAAUUGUUGAAAGGGAAACGCUUGAAGUCAGUCGUGCCCUUUGGGAUUCAGCCUUGCUUCUGCUUGGUUUACUUCCCUUUGGGUGGGUCAACAUCAGUUUGAAUCGGAGGAGAAAGACUUGGGGAAGGUGGCAGCAUUCGUGCUGUGUUAUAGCCCCUUGUUGUAUACUUCGAUUUGGACUGAGGACCGCAGCACGCCUUUGGCCGGGGCUCGCCCACGUACGUGCUUAGGAUGUUGGCAUAAUGGCUUUAAGCGACCCGUCUUGAAACACGGACCAAGGAGUCUAACAUGUGCGCGAGUGUUUGAGUGUUAAACUCAGACGCGAAAUGAAAGUGAAAGGUUGGGAACACUUAUGUGUGCACCGACGCCCGGAGCUGACCUUCUGUGACGCAUCUGCGGUAGAGCGUAUAUGUUGGGACCCGAAAGAUGGUGAACUAUGCCUGAAUAGGGUGAAGCCAGAGGAAACUCUGGUGGAGGCUCGUAGCGAUUCUGACGUGCAAAUCGAUCGUCAAAUUUGGGUAUAGGGGCGAAAGACUAAUCGAACCAUCUAGUAGCUGGUUCCUGCC